rnacentral:rRNA from 1 species
AUGAACGCUAGCUACAGGCUUAACACAUGCAAGUCGCGGGGCAUCAUGGAGGUUGCUUGCAAUUUCUGAUGGCGACCGGCGCACGGGUGAGUAACGCGUAUCCAACCUUCCCAUUACUACGGCAUACCCCGUUGAAAGGCGGCCUAAUUCCGUAUGCAGUCCGAAGCAGUCAUCUAAUUUGGACGAAAGGUAUAUUCUAUCGGUAAUGGAUGGGGAUGCGUCCGAUUAGCCAGCCGGCGGGGUAACGGCCCACCGGGGCAUCGAUCGGUAGGGGUUCUGAGAGGAAGGUCCCCCACACUGGAACUGAGACACGGUCCAGACUCCUACGGGAGGCAGCAGUGAGGAAUAUUGGUCAAUGGGCGUAAGCCUGAACCAGCCAAGUAGCGUGCAGGAUGACGGCCCUAUGGGUUGUAAACUGCUUUUAUGCGGGGAUAAAGUUGGGGACGUGUCCCUUUUUGCAGGUACCGCAUGAAUAAGGACCGGCUAAUUCCGUGCCAGCAGCCGCGGUAAUACGGAAGGUCCGGGCGUUAUCCGGAUUUAUUGGGUUUAAAGGGAGCGUAGGCAGUUUUUUAAGCGUGCUGUGAAAUGUACCGGCUCAACCGGUGAUGUGCAGCGCGAACUGGGAAUCUUGAGUACGCAGUAAGCAGGCGGAAUUCGUGGUGUAGCGGUGAAAUGCUUAGAUAUCACGAAGAACUCCGAUUGCGUAGGCAGCUUGCUGUAGCGUAACUGACGCUGAAGCUCGAAAGUGCGGGUAUCGAACAGG